rnacentral:rRNA from 1 species
ACUACGAACGGGUGGAGCCUGCGGUUUAAGUUGAUUCAACGCCGGAAAUCUCACCGGGGCGACAGCAAUAUGAAGGUCAGGCUGAAGACCUUACCCGAUUAGCUGAGAGGUGGUGCAUGGCCGUCGUCAGUUUGUACUGUGAAGCAUCCUGUUAAGUCAGGCAACGAGCGAGACCCACGUCCACAGUUGCCAGCAUACCCUCCGGGGUGAUGGGUACACUGUGGAGACCGCCGCUGCUAAAGCGGAGGAAGGAGUGGGCAACGGUAGGUCAGUAUGCCCCGAAUCUCCCGGGCUACACGCGGGCUACAAUGGUUGGUACAAUGGGCAUCUACCCCGAAAGGGGAAGGAAAUCUCUUAAAGCCAAUCGUAGUUCGGAUUGAGGGCUGCAACUCGCCCUCAUGAAGCUGGAAUCCGUAGUAAUCGCGUUUCAACAGAACGCGGUGAAUACGUCCCUGCUCCUU